rnacentral:scRNA from 1 species
GUCGUACUCGAUAUCCAGAAAGAGGCCAACGA